rnacentral:rRNA from 1 species
UACGAACCGUACAAACGUUAUUCGGAAUCACUGGGCUUAAAGAGUUCGUAGGCGGCGCAGAAAGUAGGGUGUGAAAGCCCUCGGCUCAACCGAGGAAUUGCGCUCGAUACUCUAGUGCUUGAGUUCGGGAGAGGAGCGUGGAAUUCCCAGUGUAGAGGUGAAAUUCGUAGAUAUUGGGAAGAACACCGGUGGCGAAGGCGGCCACCUGGUCCGGCACUGACGCUGUAGCGCGAAAGCGUGGGGAGCAAACAGG